rnacentral:rRNA from 1 species
UACGUAGGUGGCAAGCGUUGUCCGGAUUUAUUGGGCGUAAAGAGCCCGCAGGCGGUUUGGAAAGUUUCGGGUGAAAUCUCCUGGCUUAACCGGGAGGGGUCUCGGAAAACUACCAGACUUGAGGCAGGGAGAGGGAUGUGGAAUUCCCGGUGUAGUGGUGAAAUGCGUAGAUAUCGGGAGGAACACCAGUGGCGAAGGCGGCAUCCUGGCCCUGUCCUGACGCUCAGGGGCGAAAGCGUGGGGAGCAAACCGG